UACGUAGGGUGCAAGCGUUAUCCGGAAUUAUUGGGCGUAAAGAGCUCGUAGGCGGUUUGUCGCGUCUGCUGUGAAAACUGGAGGCUCAACCUCCAGCCUGCAGUGGGUACGGGCAGACUAGAGUGCGGUAGGGGAGAUUGGAAUUCCUGGUGUAGCGGUGAAAUGCGCAGAUAUCAGGAGGAACACCGGGGGCGAAGGCGGAUCUCUGGGCCGAUACUGACGCUGAGGAGCGAAAGCGUGGGGAGCGAACAGG
rnacentral:rRNA from 1 species